UACGAAGGGGGCUAGCGUUGCUCGGAAUUACUGGGCGUAAAGCGCACGUAGGCGGAUCGUUAAGUCGGGGGUGAAAUCCUGGAGCUCAACUCCAGAACUGCCCUCGAUACUGGCAAUCUCGAGUCCGGGAGAGGUGAGUGGAACUCCGAGUGUAGAGGUGAAAUUCGUAGAUAUUCGGAAGAACACCAGUGGCGAAGGCGGCUCACUGGCCCGGUACUGACGCUGAGGUGCGAAAGCGUGGGGAGCAAACAGG
rnacentral:rRNA from 1 species